UGGACCUAGAGAAGAGGGAGCAGGUCUGUCUGUUGAAUGAGGUUUGCCAUGUAUAAAACAGAAUCACAAAACCAUUUCCUACUAUUUUGCAUCUGCAUCAAUUUCUCCUUUUUCACCUAUACUCACUGUUCUGUCUUCUACAGACUAGCAAGGCAAACAGUACAGCACUUCUCUGUUAAGAGGAAACAAUUUCAUCUUCCAGAAAAUCCUAAGCCCCUGGAAACCCGGGAUCGUGCAUCUCCUUGGAGCUGAGCCUCACAGGCUGCAGUGGAAGUCCCCAGCUGCUGUACACCAGGCAGUCUCAGGCAUCUCCACCCGCUAUCCACAAGGACGCACCAUUUCUGAGCCUUAACAUUGUAACUCAAGCGGAUAGUACAUGCAAUUCAUGGAAGAAACUUAUCUGACGAGGAAAAGCACGUGACCGUCUUCUUGCACUCAGAACACUAGAAAACCUUCAGAACUUUAUUUGGGAGUCAUUUUAAACAAAUUUGGCAAGAAAACUAUAGCACUAAAUAGACAACAGAAAGAAUGCCCGAUUUGCAGUACAAAAGGAAACAAAGGUUCUUGUUCAACUGAUUGGGAACGCAAGCACUAGACAAGUCAAAUCUUUAGCUGCCCCAUACGUGUCUGUGAAUAAUCACAAAUGCACUGUGAAUACUGACUUUGGUCAAAUAAAACUUUAUUAAGAAUA